UACGAAGGGGGCUAGCGUUGUUCGGAAUCACUGGGCGUAAAGGGCGCGUAGGCGGCUUUGUAAGUCGGGGGUGAAAGCCUGUGGCUCAACCACAGAAUUGCCUUUGAUACUGUCUGUCUUGAGUCCGGGAGAGGUGAGUGGAAUUCCUAGUGUAGAGGUGAAAUUCGUAGAUAUUAGGAAGAACACCAGUGGCGAAGGCGGCUCACUGGCCCGGUACUGACGCUCAGGUGCGAAAGCGUGGGGAGCAAACAGG
rnacentral:rRNA from 1 species